rnacentral:lncRNA from 1 species
AAAAAAAGGGAAACGGCUGAGAUAUUCAUAGGUUGCAUAUAGAGAAUUCUCUUAGAUUUUCUCUUUUUGAAAGUUAAUUUUCAUGAUGGAUACACACAACUCAUAGAAGAAGGAUCAUAAGCUUCGUAGUAACAAGAUUCAAAGUUAUUUGGUUUUUUUCACUACUAUUUGAUUAUUUCCCGGGGAUUUUCUUGCAAGUUUUAAGCUGUGGGACUGCUAUUGAUUUGAUUAGAGUUUGCUGCUAUUAUUUGCUGAUUCCAGAAGAUUCUCUUUUUCUCAUUUUUUUUCGUUUGCUGCAACCAGGUACUCCUUUGAAUCCUGAAUGACAAAUGGAGCUUGAAUGUGUUUUGUGUGGAAGAUGUGUUUCUGCUGAAAUCAAUGAAGAUUGUUCUUGUUUGGACUUUAGUUUUCAUAUUUCCUUCUAAGCCAUUCAGCUUUCUCUUCAUUUCUUCCUUUUUAUUUCUUUCUUAUAUGUGAAAAUCUGUUGUGAUGGUCACUGGUUAGUGAAGUUAUUUAGUGACAAAUGUCUUAGUAGCUCAUACUGUAGGUAUUAAAUCUGUGUAAAAGUCCCAGAUAAAGUCAUAGUAUAAUCAGCUCGUUUAUCUAUUAUUCAUUGAAAUGGGGUGUUGACUAAUGUGUUGGCUUUGAGUUUGCUUGUCAAGUUUGAGGGAUUAAUUCUGGAGUCCCAGUUUUAUGUACUUUUAAAGAAAACUCCAUGUGAUUGCUAAAAUAAUGUCUAGAUGGGUCAUCUUAGAAGUCAAACAUUGAUGUGGUAGUUGAACAGCUGAUUUUGAUAUGAUUUAUUACUUGGUUAAAGUCAUUCGAAUUAUAAAAAUUCAAGCUAUUUGAUUUUUUAAUAUGCCACAGUACGUUCCUUGCUCAUGAAGAGAUUAACAUUGUAUUUUGUCAAUCACGUAUGUCUAUAGUCAUUCUGGUGAGUUAAACAUGGGAGUUGGUAUUCUUUGGUUUCCUUUUGGUGAGAUAUUCUACAUUGUAUCUGCUUUUGUUAAUAAUUAAUUGGAUCUAUGGAACAAGUAAAGUGCUGGGUGAACUUGUCUAAUAGUAGUAUCAUUUUGGGCCUUAGGAUUUGAAUGGGAGUUGGCCCCAAAGUCAAUAGACUAAAGAGGGUUUCAUUUUAGGGCCCAAUAACUACUACGUAAUUCUAGCUGAAAUCCUCCACUUAUGCCAUUUCAUAAUCGAUACUUCAAUAAUCUCGAAUUUAUUUAAGAGUGCAUGAAUCCCGUAGUUUGCUUUAAGUGCUUUUUAUUAAGCAAAGUGAGGUGUGUCAUAUCAAAUAAGACCUAUAAUUUAUGGCCCUCAUAAGACUAGAUCAAGAAAUCACUUGAAGAAAGAGAUUUGAGGCGUGCCAUAAGCAAGUUAAAUCAUCUAUGGCCCUCACAAAUGUUAUAAUUUAGAUAUUAAAAAUGAACUUCAUAGUUUACUUUAGGCGCGUUAAUUAUAUAAUUAUCAUUGCUAAUACUAAAAUCCAGGUGUACAUUUCAUGUUACCCGAUUCUAAUUUCCAACAAGGUUAAAUAGAACAUGUCAUGAAUUACGGGUGUAUUUCAUGUAGCGUGGCUUGCGAUGUGUUUUAAAUAACCUUGAAAUAAUUCCUUAAAUAAAUAAAAGCGGUUUUUUUAAAGUUAAAAAUGCACAUAGGUUUAAAAGUGUUUUAAAAUCAAAUAAUUAGGCCGAUAAUAAUAGUUUAGUGACCAUGCUAGAACCACGGAACCUAGGAAUGCCUAACAGCUUCUCCCGGGUUAACUGAAUUCAUUACCCAGAUUUCUGUAUUCGCGGACUAUAAAUAGAGUCAAUCUUUCCUCUAUUCGGGUUCUGAACCAGUGACUUUGGACACUAUAAAUUAUCCCAAGUGGCGACUCUGAAUAAUAAAUAAAUAAAUCUCGUUUCGAUUGUCACUUAAAUUGGAAAAAAUUCCCUUAUACCCUUCCCGGAGUAGUAAAAAGGAGGUGUGAUAGAGCCGAUUAUGGAACUUUAGAACAAGAUAAGUCUCCUGUCUAACUGUGUGAGCCGGAACUACCCCUAGGUAAUGUGUUUGAUAUAUGCUACUUUUUUGCGGGAGCUACGUACGCACGAGGUGAUGAGAGUUUGUACGUAGCUAGAUUCAUGAUAUGUCUAUGUAGACUUAGGUUUACGCCAUGCUAUAACUGCACUAUUUGAGUUGUUCCUUGCCUAUUAAAUUCAUUUAUUUUACAUUAAAACUUGAGACUAGAAUUUCUAGAGUGAUAGACUUGCUAUAGUGAAGAUUUGACGAGCUUCAUGAUUAGUUGCGGAAUAAAUGUGCUCCUCUUACGAAUUACUCCCGCGUUAUGUGUUUUCAUCAAUAAGCUUCCUUAAAGGUCAUAACUCACAUGUUUAUUUGUGAGUGGGGUCAAGAACCCGUUAAACCUUCUUAUUCUAAUAGGAUCGGGUCGUUCGCCCAGGUAGUAUAACGGAUACAUCUAUGGUUCAUGUUGUUCGGCCCUCGAGAGUUUGCACAUUAUGAUGGGAUUAGGCCGUUCGUCUCGGCAGGAUUAUGUACCAUACUCUCAUAGGAACGGGCCAUUCGCCUCGAUAGUAUAAUAGAUGUAUCUAUAGUUCGUGUCAUUCGACCCUCCAUAGUGCAUAGAUUAUGAUGGAAUCGGGACGUACGCCUUGGAAUUUCUACAAAAUACUCCUAUGGAAUCAUGCGUAAUAUUUGUCAAGAAACCAGUGUAUCUGGGAAUUCUUGAUUUGACUCAUGACGAUCUAUCUGGUGAGGUCCAAUAUAUAUAUAAUCCGGUAGAGGAGGUAACUGCUAAUUGAGAGAUUAAGCUUAUGGUUGAGAGGAGGAUUGUACCACGUAUUUAUGCUUGUUUAUUUUGUUUAUUUACUAUGCCCCAUAUCUGUUUACUUCUUACUAUAUCUGUCUUAUUGGACCACUAGUAAGUGUCGAUGCCGCACCCCUCGUUACUACUUCUCUAGGGUUGGGCUAGAUACUUAUCGGUAACACGUUGAUAUACAUACUCAUGAUGCACUUACUGCACUUAUUGUGCAGGUAUACAUAUAUAUUUCUGGUGGUCCUCUAGGUAUAGAGGCACGGCUAUUGUGGGAACUUUACAGUGAGCUCCACUUCUUUGUUACGAUCCGCAUCAUACAGAGUCUCCAUCAGAGUUAUUUAUAUUUUCCGUCUAACUUGUAUUUGAGACGGAGGUUGUAUUAUUAUAAAUAGAUGCUCAUGCACUUCUGACACCGGGUUUUUGGGGUUCCUACUAGAUGUUUAGUAUGGUAGUUCUUGUAGUUAUUAUCAUUUCACCCUGUAAAUUCUCUUUUAUACUGUAAAUUAAUGGAAAUUAUGAUUUCAAAAGUAAUAAAAUGAGUAACUAAGUUGAUUAAAUCACUGUUGGCUUGCUUGAUGGCGGCGUUAGGUGCCAUCACGACCUAUAGUUGAUUUUUUGUCGUAACAGCUUGAUAUCAGAGCAUUAGGUUCACUUAGGUCUCACGAGUCAUGAGCAAGUCUAGUAAAGUCUUGCGGAUCGGUACAGAGACUUCUGUACCCAUCUUCGAUAGGUUACAGGGCUGUUAGGAGCACUUCCCUUCUUGAUUCCUCAUCGUGCGAUUUGAUUACUUCGAGGCUUAUGCUUUUAUUUCUUCCUACUCCAUCUUAUGCGACGUGAAGUGCUUUUUAUUAAUUGGGCAUCGAGGAUUUGUGGUGGUACUGCAGUCAUGAUGCAGGGUUUUUUCCCUACGUGUUCGGGCAGACUAUUAUCGUCGCUUUGCAAAAGGAUGUUCCCUCAUUUUAGCUCAAUAUUUGUAUUUCCUAUGGUUUUGAGGGUAUGCACAGUUUGCUAUGGUGUUUAUGCAUUGUUAUCGCAUUGUGUUGGUUGAUGGUAGGGUGCUUGUUUAUGUGUCAAAGCAUUGAAUGACCUGAAAGGAGGUACUCAGUGCAUGAUUUAGAGGUUCGACAUUUAAGGCAAUCGCACUAUGGAUGUUCAGGUUUUGGUUGAUGGAGUAGCGAGACUUGAUAUUACAAGCGCGGUAGAGUUCUUAUUUGUGAUGUGGUGUUGUCAUCCUUUUUUGAACACACUAAGGCUUGCCGGUGUUAUGGUCUUCUUUGAUUUACCUUAGGGGCAGGGUGUUGCUAAAUGGUGCCUAAGAAGCGGUUGCCAUCGAUGGCGGUGUGUAGCGAUUUCAGAAUCGAAUUGGUGUUUCUAAUGUUGAUGGCUCGAGAAAGAUGAUCUUUGAGGAGGCUUAAAGUUAGUAGCAAUUUAUUAGUUCAGGUGCUACAGAGAUGGAUUUUGAUUUUAGGCAGCAUUUGGGUAGCGAAGGAUGAUGAAGGACAUGGUGGGAGAUGUCUCGCGGUGGUUGAGUUGCUAGGAGGUCAAGUAUGAAAAGCGGAGGUCAAGAAGUUGCUUGAAGGAGAUGUUUUAACCAAAGUGGGAGCGACAGAGUAGCAUAUGGAUUUUGUGGUAGGAUAUCCACAUGCCUUAAGAAAGUUUAAGGCGAUAGAGGAAUCGUGGUGGAAAGUGACUAGGUCUACAGAUUUCAUUUGGGAUGGUGGCUACCGUACUGAGGAAGAUUGAAUAUAGCAGAGAGGAGUUUGCUUGAAAUGAAGAGGGGUGUGAAAACUUGAUUAUCAUUUCAGAUGCAACAUGACUUUGAGUUUGGAGUGUAUUGUUAGACUUUUAAUUGGUGUCAAUGGGGAAUGGACAGACUUGUACAUUCGGUGGACGAGCAUGGGCUCAGGAAGGUUUACCGAUUUUGUGGUAAGUUGUACCCAGUGCAGCGUUGUUGGGAGAUGUCAAAAUGGAAUUCCACAUAUGGGCUAUCUCCUGUGAGCAUGUUAGUUGUUACGUGAUUUUUGAUGAAGUUUCUACGAAGAGUUCUACUUGCUACCUGGUAAAAUGUCGAAUAUGUAAUUAUGGCUGAUGAUUCGGGAUGUUCAUGAAAAGUAUAAUAAUUGAUUUCGAGAAAUUUGGUAGGCUAAAGGUGCGAGAUCAUGGUAACUGAGAAGGAGGAAUCUUUGUGGGUUCUAGAUUUCUGUAAUUGUAGCUUAAAGCUAAAUGGGGGAGCCCCCCGUCUAUGACUGGGUCGCGUGGUUGUCUGCUGGUGCGAUUUCUGAUUAUCGGUGCAUUAGUGGAUCAACUAUGACUAAGAAAGGAAAACAUUAGGGAUAAUUUGAGCAAGGAACUUGGUGAAUAUGUGCUAGAUUUUGCCUUAACGAUUCAUGUGCAGGUUUUGGGAAGACUCGGAGUUUAUGCUUCUUGUGGAUUUAAUGUACAAGGAAAAUAAUUCAUUCGAUUGCUUCAUUGGAAGAGUUCAUGUGCUAAUAGAGCAUUGGAGUUUGAUUAUUAUUCGGGACCAGGUCAGAGUGGGUGACUCUUAACAACGGUUCUAGUGGGUUCAAGAAUUAAAGUGCAGUGCCUACGGAUUUCAGGUCUGUGUGUGGUUAAGGAUCGAGGUUUUAGAGUGGAUUAUGAAAAGGACUUGGAGUAUUCUAUGUUAUCAUCGAGUCUGUGGUGCAUUAUUGGAGAAAUGGGAGGAAACAAUUUCGAAUUUGUAGAGGAUCUUUUAGAAUGGGUAUACAGUUGGAAAUGUUAUUGUGCGUUUGAGAAGGUUAUGGGAUGGUUCAUGGGUAUUGAGAUGAUUUGGUCUCGUGAUUCGGAUCACUUGGGAUGAGUGUAGAUUGGAUUCGUUAUAUUUUGAGUGGAGCUAUUAUUAUUUAUAAGGCAAGUCAAGAGUAAAUUAGAAGAAGUUGGUUCGGUUAGUAAUGGUUGAAUCAGCAUGAUUGUGGCAAUAAUCAGUUCCUUCAGCGUGUGAAGUUAUACAUAUGGUUGGUGGUUAUACGUACGGGCCUGACAGCUAGCAUAACUUGAUGAAUUUGGGAGGUAUUUGAUUCAAAUGUCCUUGUUGUGUGAAUGGAUUCCGGAAGAGUUAUGGCGGUUUAGAUCACAACUUGAGGUUUGUAUUUUUUGUGGUUAUGGGAUUAUGGUUGCGUGUUGCAAUGGUUCUUCUGAACGAAUUAAGUGAAAGGAAUCUAGCCAAUGAAGUGUUUAUUCUACUAGUAGUUCAGGGGUUAUGAUGAAUUCUUGCACUCUCGUGUAGCGGCAUGAUAGGUGCAGUGAGCGGUAUGGAAAUUGAAAGUGAAGGAUUAAGGUUGUGGUUUGGUGUUGACAAGAAUAUCAUGAGCUCGGAUGAGGAGGGAAGAAUUCAGAUGUUCAGAGUAAGCUGGCAUUUUCUUUAGUGUCACCUAAGAAUGGUGUCCUGUGUAAGAGGGUUUGUUUAUUGAUUUGUGGAUUCUCGAUUUGCUAGAAUUAGUAUGUUGGUGGUAUGGAGGUGCAAACCUUGCUACUUGUUACUGAAGGUCAUGGGAGCGUAUUCCCCGGAGAAAUUUGUAUAAGUGGGACAUGUUAGUCACUUGACUGUUAAGGAUUGAAACCAAGCAUGGAGAUUAUGGUACUAUCGUUAAUGUGAGAUUUUAUGCCUGGAAAGAGCUCUAUUUCUUUGGUUGUGAACUGUGGGAGUUUGUUCCAGAUUGGAUGGUUGAUCGUGUAUGUCAUGAAUAGGGCCAUUGUGGAUCCUUGAAAGGCUAUUGGCCCAGUAUGGAAUGAUCGGAAUCGGCUUGGUUCCGUUGAUGGAUCAAAUGUGAAUGUGCUCUACAUCAGGUCGGAUGUGUUCAUUUAGCAUAGCGUUGCUUAUGGAGGAGUCUUUGAGUGUUGGAUGUUAUUCCCGUUGUCAUCUAUUCCAUGUGAUACUCUACUGUGCCAUAUAGGUUGUGAGAUGGCUUGAUUACUCGCACGUGUGUUGUGACCUCAUGUAGCUUGUGGUGUUAUGUAAGCAAGAUGUCUCUCUAGAUGAAGAUUAUUUAUUGCACCUUAGUUGUGCUUGGGUUUUGUAGCGUAUGGCUCUAUCCGUCUCCCCAAGGUUGUAUUUUCGCACUUGGCAUGCUUGUGGCCGAUAUUCAGUAUUUCAUAGGUAUAAGCAUUAUGGCUUGAUAGAUACUUUCUUAUUUAUUGCUAUAUGUGGAUCGGGUGGCAUGCCGCCACGGUUAUGGUGUUUGGAUUGGGUUGCAUGCAGCAACGGUAUCAUGUUUUGAUCGGGUUGCACGCCGCAACACUGAGAUGUUAAGUACGGUUCUCUAUAUCUAUUCUUGUGUAUUUUAUUUCUUGUCUCUGAUAAAGCUUCAUAGCAUUUGAUUAUCGUUUUAUUCGUUACGCGGUCCAGAUAGUUAUUUUUUCAGAGUUAGUUCUCCCUAUCUGUCAUAAUCAAGUUGUAUCUUGUUGGCGCAUUGAUGGCAUCAUAUGAGAUUUUGGUCAGUGUUUGAGGUGGCUUAUUUCCAAGCAGCUUGUACUGGGUGAGAUGAGGUUAUUGGACCUGAAAUCAGUACGAUCGGAUUUAUGUGGGGUAUAUUAAAGAUAAAAUAUCGUUAUUUAGUUCAAAAAUAUAAUGAGGUAAUGGUUCUUGUCAAGUGGGGAGACUGUAUGAUUUAUUGAUUCGGUAGGUGAUUAUGAGUUUCUACACAUCUCCUCCAUCAUGGCAGUGUCCUAAGGUAUACUGCAGGCAUCAGAUUCGUGGGAUUUCAGGUAUUGUGGUCAAAGGAUGUUAUUAAAGACAAACAACUUGAGUGGCGUGCUGUGUGAUCCCGGUAUGGGUGCAUGAUCAUGUUUUGGUAUUGUGUAUAGUAGUUGAUGCGGUGUUCGUAUGUUAGAAUCAGGUCUUGUAGAGAAAUUCUGGAUGUUGUAAUUUGGUUCCAAAGCAGGUUAACUAAGGUUGUAGGAAGGAUAUUCAGUCUGGCUCGAAAUAAUGUGCUCAACUGGGUUGUGGCACGGAUAGGUGCACGAGAGGUUAAACAGUGAUUUUGGACAACUCCGGAGCAGUCCUUAGCACGUUCGAGGGCGAACAUAUAUUUAAGUGGGGGAGAAUGUAACGACCUGCCCAGUCCUUUUGAGCUCCAGCACGUCGUUUGAUGGUAUGAGGCCCUGAGUAGCUUCACUUCAUGUUUUACGACAUAUAAGUGUGGUCGGAAUUGAAUUUCGGGAAGUUCAGAGUCGAUUCGGAUGGAAAAUUCUAAUUUUGGAAGCUUUAAGUUAGAAGAGUUUAUCUUCCAACUAAGGUUUGACUUUUGAUUAAACGACCUCGGAAUCGGGAUUUAAAGGUUUCGAUAGGUUUGUAUGCUGAUUUCAAACUUGGGCGUAUGUUCGGAUUGAGUAUCGGGUCGCCUGGGAGCAUUUCACUGCUUAUUAUGGAAAGUUGGCUUUUUGGAUGAAUUUCAUAAGUUUGGGUUGAAGCGGAUUUUGAUUAUAUCGAUGUCCGUUUGGGGUUUUGAGCCUUGGAAUAGCUUUGUUAUGUCAUUUAUGACUCGUGUGCGAAAUUUAAAGUCAUUCCGGAUUGAUUUUGAUAUGUUUUGGCACAAGAUAUUGAAAUUGGAAAUUUAUAAUUUUGAUUCGAGGCGUGAUUCAUAAUUUUGACAUUGUUUGGCAUGAUUUGAUGCCUCGACUAAGUUCGUUGUGUUUUGGGACGUGUUGGUAUAUUUGGUUAAGGUCCCGAGGGGCUUGGUUGGAUUUCGGGUGAUCAACGGAUCGGAUUUUUGACUUAAGGAAAAGCUGGAAAUUCUGAAUGCUGGUGUUUUCGCGCCUGCACUUGAAGGACCGCAGAAAGAGAGGCAGUGGCUCGCAGAAGCAACCUGGGCAGGGCUGGACUGAGGUUGCAGGUGUGAAGAUGUUUUCCGCACCUGCAUGAUCGUGGAAGCGAAAAUGAAGACACAGAAGCGGAAGAUGGCAGCUGGGGCAUUUCUGUAGAAGCGGAAGGACGGGCACAGGUGCGAAUUCUUGCCCUCAUGUGCGAAUUCUUGCCCGCAGAUACUGAUAGGGAGGCCAUAGGGGAAACCGCAGAAGCGGAAUUUGGCCGCACCUUUGAAACCGCAGAAGCGGCCAAAUGACCGCAGGGGCAAUGAUCCCUGGACAGAACGCUUGUUUAAGUACCUGGGUUUGGCUCAUUUUCAUUUCAUUUCUUCCAUGGGAGCCGGCCUUGGAGCGAUUUUGGAGCGCCAUUCUCAUCGUCAAAUCAUGAGGUAAAUAAUUUCUACAAGUUGUGAGUUAAAUAUACGAAUUCGGGCUUGUGAAUACAUGAAAAAUAUGGAAAUUGUGGGAUUUCAAGAGAAAACCUAGAGAUUGGUAAUUUUGGACUUUGACCACAAUUUUGGAAAUAGAAUUAGGAAUAAAUUACAUAUUUGAGUUUGUGAUGUUAUAGGUAAAGUUUAUCUUGGAAAUUUUUUGGAAUCCGGACUUUAUAGACUUUUCGAGUGGAGUUGUGAAUUGUUAUAAAUUGUUACAUUUUAAGCAUUGGAGUUUAUUUUGAUUGAUUUGCAUGUUGUUUGAUUAGUUUCGGAACGUUUGGCUUGGAGUUGAGGAGUUAAAGAGGCGUUGGAGUCGGUUAUGGAACUUCGGAUCAAGGUAAGUCUCUUGUCUAACCCUGUGAGGGGGAACUACCCCUAGGUGAUGUGUUUGAUAUGUGCUAUGUGUUGUGGGGUCUAUGUACGCACGAAGUGACGAGAGUCCAUACUUAGCUAUAUUCAUGAUAUGUCCGGGUAGACUUAGGUUUACGCAAUGCUAUAACUGUACUAUUUGAGUUGUUCCUUGCCUAUUAAAUUCCUUUAUUUUACGUUACGACUUGAGACUAGAAUUCCGUGGAGUGAUAGACUUGCUAUUGUAGAGAUUUGACGAGCUUCAUGAUUUGUCACGGAAUAAUUGUGCUCCUCUUACGAAUUACUCCCGCUUUGUGCAUUUUCAUCGAAAAGCUUCCUUAAAGUUCAUAACACACACGUUUAUUCAUGAGUGGGGUCAAGGACCCGUUAAAGCUUAUUAUUCUAAUGGGAACGGGCCGCUUGCCUUGGCAGUAUAAUGGAUGCAUCUAUGGUUCAUGUCGUUCGACCUUCGGCAGUUCGCACAUUAUGAUGGGAUCGGGCCGUUCGCCUUGACAGGAUUGUGUACCACACUCUCAUAGAAGAGAACCGUUCACCUCAACAGUAUAAUAGAUGUAUAUAUGAUUCGUGUCGUUCGACCCUCGACAGUGCACAAAUAAUGAUGUGAUCGGGUCGUACGCCUCGUCAUUUCUAUAAAAUACUCCUAUGGAGUCGUGCGUAAUAUUUAUAAGAAAGCCAGUGUAUCUGGGAAUUUUCCUGAUUUGAAUCAAGACGAUCUAUCUAGUGAGAUCCAAUAUAUAUAUAUAUACACACACACAUAUACACAUACGCUGGUUGAAGAGGUAACAACUAAUCGAGAGUUUGAGUUUAUGGUUGAAAGGAGGAUUGUACCAUGUAUUUAUACUUGUUUAUUUCGUUUAUUUACUCUACCCUAUAUCUGUUUACUUCUUGUUGUAUCUGUCUUAAUUGACCACUAGUAAGUGUCGAUGUCGACCCCUCGUCACUACUUCUCUGGGGUUAGGCUAGAUACUUACUGGGUACACAUUGAUUUACAUACUCAUGCUGCACUUAUUGCACUUAUUGUGUAGGUAUACAUAUAUGUUUCUGGGGGACUUUACGGUGAGCUACACUUCCUUGUUGCGAUCUGCAACAUAUAGAGUCUCUAUCAGAGUUAUUUAUAUUCUUCGUCUAACUUGUAUUUUAGACGGAGGUUGUAUUAUUAUUGUACUCCUUAAUAGAUGCUCAUACACUUAUGACAUCGGGUUUUGAAGGUUCCUACUGGAUGUUUAGUAUGGUAAUUCUCGUAGUUAUUAUCAUUUCACCCAGUAAAUUCUAUUCAUACUGUUAAAUUAAUGAAAAUUAUGAUUUCAAAAGUAAUAAAAUGAGUAACUAAGCUGAUUAAAUAAUCGUUUACUUGCCUGAUGGCGGUGUUAGGCGCCAUCACGACCUAUAGUGAAUUUUGGGUCGUGACAUUUUCGAUCAACUCUGACAGCUGAGCUCUUAGCCAAGUUCAAAGACAAACAUGGCAUCUCUAAUCAAUUAGAGCUCGUACCUGUGGGCGAGGAUGCAGUGGAUACCCAUCGCCUAGGAUAUUGCGCUCUUUACGCCAAUCAUUUCUCUGUUGGUUAUUCUCUUCCUUUCCCACCUCUUGUGGAGAAGUUUUGUCGUCACUAUCGGGUCUGCCCGGACCACCUCCCCCCUAUGUAUAUAAGAUGACCAAAAUGUUGUCGAAGAUUGCCGAGUUGGAUGGCGUCCAGGUCUCAGUGUGACAUCUAAUUCAUCUGUUCGCACCCCAUUUUUACCGUGGCAUGAUGAUGAAUCUACGGCACCAUGGGGGAAAGUGUUUGGUGGUAAAAAUGGACGAUAAAAGUAGUCGACAAUUUUGGCUCGACUUUUCUUUGCCAAGAUCGGGGCCAUUGUGGCCAAUGUCGCAAGUUCCCCCGAGGCGGAAUCACAACGGUAACUAUUCAUAUUUGUCACUUUUAGUUGUUGUCCAUUUCGAGUUUCCAUAAAAACCUUCUCCAUUUUUAGCUACUAAUCGACCUCUUAAGCUGGUGGCGAACCUUGUUGACUAGGUCAGGCAAGUCGUAUCUUGUACUAUAGGGAUACGAGACUGACCAAGUUUUUGGAAAAAAUUCAAACCGGCCAUUCUCUAAAUAGAUAUUUGCAUUCUUUUGGUCGGCAUCGUACUCGUAUUGGUUUACGUCAUCGUGCUUCUUCUAGGUUCCAUUAUGGGGCUUCAAGAAAGAACAGGGCGCAUAUGCCCACGUUCAAGAGGAGAAGGGUUGCUACGCCUUCCGCCUCUACCCUCGUCUUAACUUUUGCACCCGCUCCUCCAUGAGGUCCCUUAGUUAGAAGAGACCAAUACGGACGUGCUUUCGCGUCCCGAGGAGAAGAAGGUUGCGGAGGGGACAUUUGGUGAUAGCUAUGUGCCUUGUGAGGAGGCCUCUUCCUCUAGGCCGACUAGGGAUGUUGUUCCUACUGAGUGGGCUAAAGGCAAGGGUUCCAUCGAAGAGGAUGAUGAAUCAAGUUCUAACAUGGACCACAAUGAUCUUAAGAUGAUCGAUAAAGGGACUACUCAUAUUGAGGUAAAGAUGGAGGGGGGUUCGAGAACUAUUACGAUUCCAAAGGAUUGUGAUCUGCUGAAAAACACCGAGGAUGUGGUCAACGCUCUCGGUCCUCUCUACUUCGAAGCUGAGUGUGUGACGCUCAAAGACCUGAUAGAUGGAACCAUGCCGAAGAGCACUGUCGGCCUCACCCUUAAGGUAAGUAUAGUUUUUCCUCGUUCUUUUUUCUUUGAUUUGACUUAUUUCAAGGCUCUAACUUUUGUUUUUCCUUAAUUUAUAGACUAUUAUUAUGGACAUUGAAAGUGCUUUGAGGGAGAAAAAAUGGAAAGAGAUUUACCAAUGACUGAAGGGCAAGUACUAGGAGUUCUGUGGAAAGUACCGGGAUGCCCAGAGUUGGCUUCGCGAGGAAGGAGAUGUGUCGACCAUGAGGUAGGAGUUGAAGAAGAAAGAUGAGGCACUGAUGGUUGCCGUAGAGAGGUUCAGCAUUCUCGAGGGAGCGUUGAAGAGAAAAUAAGAGGAGCUCGAGUUGAGAAAGGGCAUAGAGGCCCAAUGCAGCGACCUCUAGUGUCAGGUGGUUCAACUUAUAAGUCAGUUGGACGGGUUCCAAUUUCAAAUGGAAUCUCUUGAGAUGGGGGGGAGGUCGCUGGGAAGCAGCAGAAGUUUGAGUAGGCGGAGUCCUUCCUACUGGAUGCUCGAAGGAAGGUUGACAUUCUCGAGUUGGCAAACAAGACUCUCCAUUCUGAACGAAAUAACAUUCAAUCAGCAGUGGAAGCUAAGGAGGCCAUUCUCGAGGAGAGGAUUGGGGAGUUAGGUAAGGAGAACUUCGAGCUGCUCGAGGAAGAUGAUGAAGAAGUUGUAGAUCAUCUUGCGGAUACUGCUUGGUAUGACUCCGCUUAUGGUCGAGGCGAGGAUGGAGAAGGUGUCAGAGACUAGGGUGGCGAUGGCAACUAGAUAUUCUUCCUUUUUUUGUUUAACUUCUUGUACUUUUUGUUGAUGUCUUCAAGUGCCCUUGUAAACACUUUUUAUCUAAAUAUCAAAGUUGGUUUUUGUUUUAUAUGCACCUUUUAUCUUUGUGUGUUUUGCUUUUGUACUUCCUUUCUUCAUUUUUAUCCUCUAGAUUGCGAUAGCCGUGGGCUCGAGUAGUCGUGGGCCGUAUUGGCCUUUGUUCGAAUUGAUUGAAUGUGCCUCUUAGUUGAGAUGCGGCCAAGGGUCGAUAGGUGUUUUUUUUAUCCGAUCGAACAUACCUUUAAGUUAAGUCAUGGACGAGGGAUGAUAGGUGUUGUUUGAGUUAGUCGAAUGUACCUUUAAGUUAGGUCAAGGCCAGGGGAUGAUAGGUGUUGUUCAAGCUGGUCGAACGUACCUUUGGUUAAGUCGUGGCCGAGGGCCAAUAGGUGUUGUUCAAACUGGUCAAAUGUACCUUUGGUUAAGUCAUGACCAAGGGCCGAUGGUGUUGUUUGAGUUGGUCAAACGUACCUUUGAUUAAGUUGUGGCUGAGGGCUGAUAGGUGUUGUUUGAGCUGGUCAAACAUACCUUUGAUUUAGUCGUGGCUGAGGGCCGAUAGGUGUUGUUCAAGCUGGUCAAACGUACCUUUGAUUUUGUCCUGGUCGAGGGCUGAUAGGUGUUGUUCAAUCUGGUCGAACGUACCUUUGAUUUAAGUCAAGGUCGAGGGUCAAUAGGUAAUGUUCGAACUUGUCGAAUGUACCUUUGAUUUAAGUCGAGGCCGAGGGCCGAUAGGUAAUGUUCAAAUUGGUCAAAGAUAUAUUUUGGAGAGCAAUUUUGAAUAGACGUGCAUAUUACUUAUUUUAACAUCGUUGUUUUGAUUACAUCAUUUCGCCCUUAGGCAACUUUUGGAGAAAAUUACAAGUUUCGGGUAUCGGCUGGUGUUCCAGUCCCGGUAUAUCUAAUCUCUUCAUUGUUCGACUUAGAGAUUCUUGAGGAUCAAACAAUGAAAAACAUGUCUGCUCUCAUGUACUCCAGCUUAAAGUGUCCCACUCGUCGCCUCGUUAAAAACCUCCUUGAGAAAACCCUAUUGGGACAAAACUCAAGUGAGGGGGAAAAAAGCACGACUUACGGGGCAUUUCCUAUUUUUCAGAAGUUAAAGUACUUGAGAUGGCUGAUAUCCAAUUGUUUUGUAGGAGCUUCCUUUCCAUAGUUUCCAAUUAGAACGAACCCUUGUAUUCUUUGCCUAUAAUUUUAUAUAGUCUGUCCCAGUUGGUUCUCAACUUGCCUUCUCGUGGGUACCUAUUUUCUAGGGUUUUGACUUUGAGCACGUAGUCCCCGAUCUUAAGUAGUCAAACCUUUGCCUUUUUGUUGUAGUAGCAUUUUGCUUGUUGUUUCUGUGCGACCAUCCUUAUGUAUACCAUUGUCUCGCCGCUCUUUGACCUCAUCGAGUCUUGUCUCCUAUUUUCAUCAUUGUCGGUACUACUUUUAUGGGAGUCUCAUGUUGGGUUCUCUAACUUCUACUGAUAUAACCGCUUCUGUUCUAAAGACUAGAGAAUAAGGCGUUUCUCCUGUACUCACCUUCGGGGUUGUUCUGUGUGCCCACAAUACUUAUGGGAGUACUUCUAGCCAUAGUCCAUUAGCCUUCUCGAGCUUUUUCUUCAUGGUGUAUAAGAUAGAGUUGUUGGAGGCUUCUGCCUAUUCAGAACCAGUCGGGUGGUAAGGAGUUGAAAGUAUCCUUUUAAUAUUCCAUAUCUCGAAGAACUCAGUGGUUUUCCUCCUCGUGAACUGGGGCCAUUGUCACAACUCAUCUCUUUAGGCAAGCCGAAUCGGCAAAUGAAAUUUUUCCAUAUGAAGAUGAUUACCUCUUGCUCACAAACUUGGGAGAAUGCCCCUGCUUCUACCCACUUACAAAAAUAGUCAGUUAAAACUAAAAGGGAUUUUAUGUUACCUCAUCCUAGCGGAAGAGGUCCUACGAUAUUCAUUCCCUACUUAAUAAAUGUCCAUGGAGAGGUAACAGAGUGGAGGUGUUCGCCUGCUUGGUGGACUAUUGGGGCGUAUCUUUGACGUUGCUCCCAUUCUUCAUAAUAUUUGAGGCGUCUUUCUUCAUGGUGAGCCAAUAAUACCCAGCCCAUAUGAGGCACCUGACGAGUGCUCGGUCACUGGAAUGAGCUACGUAAUGACCUUCGUGGACUUCCUCGAGAAAGCAUUGGGUUUGGUUUGGGCCUAAGAAUUUUUCCAAGGGGCCGUCGUACGUUCUUUUAUACAAGUCAUUGUGAAGGAGGAUAUAUCUAGCAGCUUGAAUUAUUAGCUUUUUAGAUUCCUUUUUAUCGCUUGGGAGGGCGCCGUCCUGCAAAUAAUUAAUAAUAUAAUUGCGCGAGUCCUAAAUUAAGUUUACAGAUCUUACCUCGAUGUGGUCUAAUGCCGAGCUGAGAAGAUGAACUACACUCUUGUCCCCGUCGUUAUGCUUUUGGUGGCAUCAACCAAUUUGGCGAGACCCUUUGAUUUGAUGUUCUGAGUUCGUGGGAUUUGGCGAGUUGUCAUACGUCGAAAUUGGGAAGUAACCUGUAGAUCUCAAUCUGAUACUUCUCCAACCUCGGCUCUUUGAUUUGGAAAUGUCCUAGUAACUUGGUUGACUACAAGCUAAGAAUCACAAUGGAGCUUCAAUCGCUUCGCCCUAUACUUGAGCACUAGUCUCAAUCAUGCAAUUACGACCUCAUACUUGGCCUCGUUGUUAGUCAUAUCUGGGAACCUUAUGGAUUGAAGAAUUAUUUUUCCGGUGGGAACCUCGAGCAUGAGUCCCAGUUUGGACCCGCACGCAUUGGAUGCGCCAACGAUGUAUAGGACCCAAAGGUCAUGUGUUUGUAGAAAGCUUUAGUGGCUUCUUUUUUAGCCUCAGGCAUUACAUUUGCACUAAAGUCUGCAGCAAAGUCGGCGAGCGCUUGCGACUUUAUUGUUGUGCCAGGAUGAUUAGUGAUGUCGACUCUCUUAAUUCAAUGGCCCACUUGGCCAACCACCCUGAUAGCUCGGGUUUGUGUUAUAUGCUUUUUCAAGGGGAAGUGGUGACGAUCGAGAUCGGGUGGCACUGAAAAUAGGGUCUAAGCUUUCGUGAAGCUAUGACCAAUUUCUUCGGUGUAUACAAGUGUUUUACUGAUAUAAUAAAUUGGAGAUUGCGUACCUUUGUCUUCUCGAACCAAGUCCACAUUUACCACUACUUUCAAGACAACAAGGUACACGUGGAGGCGCUCCCUAGGCUUGGGCUUUGAGAGAGGAAGGGUAGUGAUGACAGGUACUCCUUCAUUUCUUGCAAUGCUUGUACACACUCGGCGUUUAUUUGAGGUCGUUAUCCUUUUUAGCACACUAAAAAACCUAUGACACCUAUCAGACGACCGCGAGAUAAAUCUAGACAUAGCGGCAGUUCGACCGAUCAAUCUUUGGACUUGCUUCUUAGUGGUCAAUUGUUCUGGUAUCCCGUCGAUAGACCUCAUUUGAUCUGGGCUAACCUCAAUCCCUUGCUGUGAUACCAAGAAGCCCAAACAUUUCCCCGAGGCUAUGCCAAACGUGCAUUUUUCAUAUAGAGAAUUAUUUGCAAAUGAAGAGAUGUCAAAGGGGCUUCUUACUUCCCAAAAACUCGGGGUUUAAUUUCAUUUCGUACUUUCUUUGUCUGUCGAAGGCUUCUUUCAGGUGGUCGAUGUGAUCUUCCGCCCUUACGGACUUGACCAAUAUGUCAUCAAUAUAUACCUCCAUGGUUUUGCCGAGUUGAUCUUUGAACAUUUUCUGACCAACCUUUGAUAGGUAGCCCCUGCAUUCAUCAACCAGAAAGACAUAACCCUAUAGCAAUACGUUCCCUGUGGGUGAUGAACGUAGUCUUCUCCUGGUCUUCUUCCUCCAUGAGUAUUUGGUUGUAACUUGAGUAGGCAUCCAGAAAACUUAACAGCUCGUGUCCUACUAUUGCAUCGAUGAGUUAGUCGAUGUGUGGCAACGGAAAUGAAUCCUUCGGGCAUGCUUUGGUCAGGUUUCUGAAGUCCACACACAUCCUCAAUUUCCCAUUUUUCUCAUCACCACAUUAGCAAUCUAUUUGGGGUACUUCGACUCCCUGAUAGAGCCGUUGGCCAAUAACUUUUCUACUUCUUCAUGGACAGAAUCAUUGAUUGUGGGGUUGAACUUUAGUCGGACAUAUCUUACUGGGGGUAAAAGGGGUUGACGUUCAUCAUGUGUAUUGAAAUUUCAUAGGGAUGCCUGGCAUAUCUGCAUGGAUAAAGGCAAAUAAAUCUGUGUCAGCUAUUAAUAAUUGAUUAAAUGUACCUGGGCCUUAGAGUUUGCAGCUGAUAUAAGCCUUUUGUUGAGGUUACUAUGAUCUAGCUGGACGGGUUUGAUAUCUUCUAUGGUUGAUCCUGCGGCUUCGACCAUCUUUGGAUCCAUAAUGACUUCUUUGGCUUCGAACUAUGACGACCUCGACCAUGCUGAUUACUAUGCUUCUUUUUCCUUAUCUUUCUUUUGUUGAGUUGUCGUGUCGUCCAUGGCGAUUCGGUAGCAUUAAUGGGACGUACAUUGUUCCCCUCAUAUUCUAAAUAUUCCCUAAGGUGUCGGGAACUUGAUCACUUGGUAUAAGUUGGAGGGGGUGGCUCUCAUAGGGUGCACCCAUGAUCAUCCCAUGAUGGCAUUGUAUGCAGUUUCCUGGUCCAUGAUAUGGAACGUUGUCUCUAGAGUCACCCUACCGAUGAGAACUAGGAGUGUAAUCUCUCCCUAAGUCCGCUCAACUGCAUUAUUAAAAUCAGUUAGUGUAAUGCAGCGCAACACUAUCUUAACCUCAAGUCUCAUCUAUGCGAGGGCUCGGGGGUGGAUGAUGCACGCCUUACUUCUAUCAUCUACCAUAAUUCUCUUAACAUCAAUAUCUAAAAUUCAUAAAGUAAUGAAAACUGCAUCAUUGUGGGGGAAAGUCAAACUGUCGGCAUCUAACUCAUCGAAGAUGAUACUUUCUUCGAGUCUGUCAUACCAAUUGUGGGUGAUCAAUCUUUUGAGCUUGUGGGUGGUAGUGAAUUUGAUGUUGUUCAAUUGAAGUGUCGUCACUGCUACUAAUAAUCAUAUUGAUGGUGUGAGAUGGUGAAUGCUGUUUUGGUGUGCUUGAACGUUCUCGACCCAUCACCAAAGUGUUCAGCCUUUGUCACUGAGUAGUUCCUUGAAAUGCCCUUGCUACAUCAAAUUUGCUACCUCUAGUCUUAGAGCGAUGCAAUCUUCUGUUUUGUGUCUACGUUCUUAGUGGAACUCGCAGAGGGCGUCAGAUUUUCUAGUGCUUGGGUCGGACCUCAUCUUUGGUGGCCAUUUUACCUUUGUUCUGAGCUUCUCAAGAGAGUAAACCACCUCCGUAGGUGACACACAAAAGUUGUGAGCAGAUAGUAAGGGGGCAUACCUCUCCCAUUCUUGUGAGUGCCUUAUCUUGGCCUAGAUGGGUUGUCUUCGUAAUGGAAGGAGGGGACAGGCGUUCUAACAUAGGUUGGUGUAAUUCCAUGCCUGGCCACAAUAAUGGAUGGUCUCUCCUUAGAUUACCCCUGAAUUCUUUCCUGGGCUCGAAUUGUACCGAGGUGAGUUGUCGAGUUGGUCCAUUAAGGUCGUCGUCAUCUUCUUGGACCUCGACACAGUAGGCAUUAUGAAUUUCGUCCCAAGUGGCCGUUGGGUAUUUCAUUAACCGACUCAGUAAUUUUCUAGUCACCCUCGAACCCUCUCUGCUCCAUUCAAAAAAGCUGCCACAUCCAUCCCUUUAUAGACAUUUGGCAAGGUCAUCAUUACCUUGUUGAAUCUGGUAGGAAGCCUCUCAAUCCCUCUCUUGGGAUUGUUUGAUGGCGAAGAUAUCGUUCACCCUUGUUUCAUCUUUAUUGUCCCCGGCAUGCAUCGUUAUGAACUUAUCGUCCAUCUCUUCAAAUGUUUCUAUGGAAUAAGCUGGCAGUUGUGAGUACCACGUCAAAGCCCCUCUAGUGAGAGUUUCACCAAACCUUUUCAGCAAGAUGAAGGAUACCUGCUCUUUGGUAAGGUUGUUGCCUUUCACGGCGGUGACAUAGUGGGUUAUAUGAUCUUCAAGAUCAGUCAUCCCAUCGUAAAUUUUGAGAUAUGGGGGCAUCUUAAAGGUCUUUGGUAUGGUGUGUGGAGCCGCUUCUUCCCCAUACUGUUGUUCCACAAAUAUGUCGGUGUCUCAUUUUGGUAACAAUUUGGGAGCACCUGGUAUUUUGUCUACCCAUUCCUGGUGCUCGUUCAUUUGGCCCCUAAGCACCCUAUCUCGUUUAUUAUUUCUUCCACUCUUUUCAGUACGAUGGCGAGGACAUGCCUCCUGCACUAUCAAUAAUAGUGUGAGUUUUACCUGAAGUCGGAGGGUUUGGUUAGUCGUCUUGUUCGUUCCUCUAUUGUGCUGCAUGAACUCUUGUAGUUCCUGUGGUCGUGCAUGGGGCUUGCUUACUAUUGGGUAGCCAUGCUUCAAGAAGCUUUUUCAUAGAGGGUGGCGCCCACUCUCCUGUGAAUGUGGAGGCCCUUUCCCGUUUGAUUUUAUUGUAUUGUAGAAAGGUGCAUGCAACCUCUCUCGUCUGGGAGAGGCCGUGGGUGUUACCUCCUCAUCAUUGGUGCCAUAGCCUUCGUUGAUGGCACUCAUGAGGUUGAGGGGAAUAUUGUUUUCUGCCUUCGUGUUGCUUCCUUGGUUACCUGCCAUGGAUAUUUUUGUUCGCGCAGAGAAAAAUGAUAAGCUUUGUGGUUCGUUAAAUUAACAAGUCACGCAAGUUAUGGAUCUAAUGGAAACUAAAAAGUUGGCUGAGAAUAUCCCCACAUACGGCACCAAACUGUAUGAUCCAAAAUUUAGACCUAGGCUUAUACAAUCGAAUUUUAUAAUAAAAUUGGGUUAAUCUUAGCCAAUAUUAAUAUCCAAAAGAUAGACCAAAUAUUUUUGUAGUAAGAUCUCACGUGUGCUUUUGAGCAACAACAUAUAACGACAAUCAUGGUGUAAUCAAUGAUCCAAGAAUAUGGAAGAAAGAAAGAAAUAGUAAUAAAUAAUAAUAAAUGACAUGUAAGUAAAUAAAUAGAUGUAGGUCACCCGAAAAGGGUAAGAUUCCCUAAUAUUUCUUCUGACAAGGAUUGAUAAUGAUAACUCUUUGAAUAUUUGGGUCCUCCUUGGAUCAUGUGAGAAAGGAUAGAUAAAAAUAUAGGGAAAAGUUGGACUUUAUAUGUGUAUGAUAAAGUAAUAAUCUUCAGAGAAUGUCAAUGUAUUGUAUUUUACAAUGAAUAUCUAAUCCCCUCUAUAACUAUAUAUCUUUCUAUUUAUAAAGGUAUAUGAGCCACAAAACCCUAAAUAGUACAAGUGGGAGGAAUAUUCACUGCAGUAUUCUCUAAGGGGCCAUAUUCCUAAAACUAGUUGUUACUGUUUUAAUAAAAUGAGUACUCGUUCUCAUCUCCGUCCUCAGUUGAGCCACCUCGACCUCGUCGACGACAUGUUCUUUUCUCAUAAUAUCGACCUUUUGAAAUUAAAUUAUUACAUCUUGUUAACGACACGUGGUAGCCUUCGAAGGCUUUCUUAAUAUUGACUAGGUCCACAUAUAAUUAUGGUAAUUUUAGCCCAUACACAUGUAUUGUCAUGGGUUUUAAUAUAUUUAUUUAUUUAAGGUGUAAAUUGUGAGAAUAAAAUGAUAAAAAAAUUACUAUCGGGUAGCCAUGCUUUAAGAAGCUUUUUCAUAGCGGGUGGCGCCCACUCUCCUGUGGACGUGGAGGCCCCUUUCCCAUUUGGUUUUAUUGUGCUGCAGAAAGGUGCAAGCGACCUCUCUCGUCUGGGAGAGGUCAUGGGUGUUACCUCCUCAUCAUGGGUGUCAUAGCCUUCGUUGAUGGCACUCAUGAGGUUGAGGGAAAUAUUGUUUUUUGCCUUCGCGUUGUUUCCUUGGUUACCUGCCAUGGAUAUUUUUGUUUCACAGAGAAAAAAGAUAAGUUUUGUGGUUCGUUAGAUUAACAAGGAUCGAUUUCCCUCACCAGUGGCAUCCUCAGUUAGAGCUCAUAGCGCUGGACUUGCCUAGUGCGAUUUACAGCUCAUGUGUGAUUUGCAAGCUAUUGCACAGUGAGUAGGAUACUCAGGGCGCACCCGAGAGAUAGCGGAUGUGGAUUUUCCUGAAAAUUUUUCAAAAUAAAAUAAAAUUAAUAAAGAUAGAAAUUUCAAGAGUAGCAAUACUUAGGACCCGUUUAGCCAUAGAUUUUGCCAAAAUAAACUUGGAUUUUAUUUGGCAAACACAUGUUUGGCCAUAGAUUUUACCUAUAUUUUGGCAAAAUCCCAAAUCUCAAAUUCCAAAACCAGCUCAUUAGUUGGUUUUGGGCCAAAAUCUUUACAAACACUAAUAAUAUACAUGUUUUUCCAAAAUAAAUUUGAAAAAUACAUUUUGAAAACGUAUGUCCAAACACAUUUUUCAUUUUCAAACCAAACUUCAUUCAAAUCAGAUUUUUCAAAAUAAAUUUGAGAAUCUAUAACCAAACGCUAGCUUAUUUUUAUUCGGUAAUAAUUAAACAUGGUUUAUCUAUGAACUAAAAAUUUGAAAAUUGAGCCGAAUUAAAUGAAUUGAACUCAAUUCACUAGCGGUAAAUUUACACUAAAAGUAGUGGCACCUAUAAUUUUCAAAUCCCGGUUCUAAGAGUCCCGGAGAUAAUUAAUGGUUAAUGACCGAAUUUGAACUUUUAACCACUAGAUUCACUAAACACCUACUUUCUUACACCUAUUUUCUUACAAUGUAGGGUGGCGAUUAUGCAUUAAAAAAAGGAGGAUAGGUUGGCUAGAAAAUUUUUAUUUCGUAUCUAUAAUUGAUAUUAGUUGUAUGAGGCAAUUUUUUUGUCUCAUAAUUUUAUGGGUCCAGAUUUUUGUGGACCCAGAAGUGUAAGAUUGGGUUCCACAAAUUUGUAAGACAAAAGACACAAAAUAAAAUUUCUCCGUUGGCUACGAUGAUAUGAAAUAUGAAGGAGAGGGGCGGCUGGUUUAUUAUUGUUUCUGAUUUUGCAGGAAGGAGAAGUGAUAGGUGAGCUGCAGUUGAAGAUUUUGUUUCACUUAAGAGUGAUGUAAUAUUUGUGUCCGUUGAUCUUGGCUUGAUGGACGGUGGAAAUUUAGUCAAAAGGUUCAUGUGAAAUAAAAUAACUCCUUGAUGUAUUUGUUGACAGCUUAGGAUAUUUGAAUAUUGCUUAGGAUAAUUUCUUAAAAAAUAAAAAAUUCAUAAUUAUAAUUAACCAAAUUAAAAAUACAAAAGGGAAAAUAUAUCUGUGAAUAUUUUUAAGAAAAUUAGCCAAAAUAUGGAAAUGAAUUAGCUUAACUUUUCGUUAGGGCUUGUUUGGAAAGCCAUCUUGUAAUUUCAUUUGAGUGUAAUUGGGUAUAAUUGUAUAAUUUAGCAUGCUUGUUUGGAAGAUGUGGAGGUCGAGUAUUAGGGUUGUAGGUUAGGAGGUAGUCGAGUCUUGCCCUUACUUCGUACCUUUGUGAGACUAGUCUGAUAGGGUUUUUGUCUAAGAUAGAUAGUGGCAAUGUUGUGUCUUACUAUUUCAGUUUUCAGUGCAGGACCUAUUUUACUAGCUAUCGCUUUUGCUUUGCAUCUUUCUUCUGGAUUUCAUGUUCCUAUUUUUCCUAAGAUUUCCGUGGUGAUACUGAUAUUGUCUCCUUUUGUCUUUUUGUUUCCUUGAGCCAAGGGUCUUUCGGAAACAGCCUCUCUACUCCUUUGGGGUAGGGGUGAGGUCUGCGUAUACACUACUCUCCCCAGACCCCACUAGUGGAAUUUUACUGGGUUGUUAUUGUUGUUGUUGUUGCUUGUUUGGCAAAGUAAUUACUUAAUCGGUAUGAAAUUAGAUGUAAUUAUGGGGGAAUAUUCAAUUCUCGAAAUUCAUACUUGCACUAAUGCACUAGAUCUUAUCAAAACUCCAAAGCAAAGUAUGAUUUAGUUAGAGUGGUACUGGGAUAAGUGAUCCUCUGAAAAGUCCUCGUGUUGUAUCCCAUAUUUUAUGGAAACUCUUUUUAUUUUUGUUUAUUUGAAUUUCAUAUUUAUUGAUUAAUGGUAAAUUAUUUUGUUUUAAUCGUUUGAUUCGUAGUUCUCCCGAAAAGAGAUAAGCGUAUAAUCUACAGUGGUAGGAAUGACGGAUACGGUCAUACCAGAGAGCUAACACACCGAAUCCAUCAGAACGUCAAAGUCAACCAUGCUUGAGCAAGAAUAGUACUUGGAAGGGUGACCUUUUGGGAGUCUUCGUGUUGCAUCCUCCAUUUACCGAAAUUCUAUUUGUUUUUUUAAUUUAAAUUUCUUAUUUAUUUACUAAUGGUAGAAUAUAUUAUUUUGAUAGUUUUCGAAGUUAUACUAAAAAAAGAUAAGUUAAUAGAAUUUUAAUUUUAAGAAUGACGGAUGCGAUCAUACCAGCAUUAAUGCAUCGGAUCCCGUCAGAACUCCAAAGUAAAGUGUGCUUUGAUUAGAACGGUACUAGGAUGGGUGACCCCCUCCCUCCCCCACCCCCCACCCCCUCGAAAAGUACUCAUGUUAUAUCCCUCAUUUUGCUGACUCUUCUUAUUUUUGUUUAUUAAGUUUCAUAUUUAUUUAUUAACAGUAAAUUAUUUUAUUUUGGUCGUUUUGAUUUGUGGUUAUACUGAAAAGAGAUAAGUAUUAGAACACUAGGAUGAUUAAUGUGAUCAUAUGAGCACUAAUACACCGGAUCUUGUCAGAAAUCCAAAGUAAAGCGUGCUUUGACUAGAGUCGUACUAGGAUGCUUUACUCUCAAGAAAGUCCUCGUGUUGUAUUCCUCCUUUUACCGUAACUCUUUUUAUUUUUAUUUAUUUAAAUUUUUUAUUUAUUUAUUAACAGUAGAUUAUUUUGUUUUGAUUAUUCAAAUUUAUAGUUCUGCCAAAAAGAGAUAAAUUUAAAGAAUUUAGAACGCUAGAAAUCACUGAUGCAAUCAUACCAGCACUAACGCACUAGAUCGCGUCAGAAUUCCAAAGUAAAGCGUGUUUCAGUUAGAGUGGUACUAGGAUCAAGGAUGGAUGACCCCCUGAAAAGUCCUCGUGUAACAUCUCUUUUUGCCAAAACUUUGUUUGCUUUUGUUAUUUGAAUUUCUUAAUUUUUUUUAUUAACAGUAGCUUAUUUUCUUUUGAUUGUUUCGAUUCGUAGUUUUGCCGCAAAGAGAUAAGCUUAAAGAAAUUAGAAUGCUAGGAAUCACGAGUUUGACCAUACUAGUACUAACACACUAGAUAAAUCAAAACUCCAUAGUAAAACGUGCUUCGGUUAGUGUGGUACUAGGAUGGGUUAUCCCUGGUAAGUCCUGGUGUUGCAUCGUUCCUUUUGCCGAAACUAUUGUUGUUUUUAUUUAUUUAAAUUUUAUAUUUAUUUAUUAACGAUAAAUUAAUUUUGUUUUGAUUGUUGUGAUUCGUAUUUCUGCCAAAAAGAGACAAAGUUUAAAGACUUUAGAAUGCAACGAAUGAUGAUGCCACCGUACCAGCACUAACACAAUAGAUCCUGUCAGAACUCAAAAGUAAAGCGUGCUUCGGUUAUUGUGGUACUAGGAAAACUUCUCAUGUUGCAUCUCAACUUUUGUUGAAACUCUCUUUUGUUGUUUACUGAAAUUUCUUAUUUAUUUAUAAUGGUAGAUUAUUUAUUUUGAUCGUUUUGAUUCGUAGUUCUACCGAAAAAGAGAUAAGUUAACAGAAUUUCGAAUUCUAGACGGCGGUGACACCGGCAGAGGUGGCUGAGCAGCUGAUGAAGGAAGAAUGGAAGAUGAAGUUGAUGUUUCACUUAAUGGCUUGAUUGAAUUUCUUAAC